rnacentral:rRNA from 2 species
CCUGGCGGCAAUAGCGAAGUGGAACCACCUGAUCCAUUCCGAACUCAGAAGUGAAACGCUUCCGCGCCGAUGGUAGUGUAGGGUCUCCCUAUGCGAGAGUAGGUCACCGCCAGGCACCAAAUACGAA